rnacentral:rRNA from 1 species
UACGUAGGUGGCAAGCGUUGUCCGGAUUUACUGGGCGUAAAGAGCGCGCAGGCGGUCGUUUAAGUCGAAUGUGAAAGCCCCCGGCUCAACUGGGGAGGGUCAUUCGAUACUGAUCGACUUGAAGGCAGGAGAGAGAAGUGGAAUUCCCGGUGUAGUGGUGAAAUGCGUAGAUAUCGGGAGGAACACCAGUGGCGAAGGCGGUUGCCUGGAGCUUUGCUGACGCUGAGGCGCGAAAGCGUGGGGAGCGAUCCGG